UAAGUAAAAAAUACGGCGUCGUAUAUAUAUUCGCGGGAAACGACACGCUGUAUCGUGUCCACUGUAAGUUUUCCUCAGAUGUGCUAAAAGUGCUGAGACUCACGACGUUGAAUUAGCCGCAACACUGGCGGUGCCCGACGAAGCUUCUGCUGUAUCGUUUGGUUGCCGAGAAAAUAAUAACUCCGAGACAUUUUCUAAUCGAAUAAAAGUAUACCAUAGUCCUAGAUAAUACAAUUGAUCGACACUGAUUUUGGAUUCGGUUCAGAAUAUCAAAAUGGAGGCGUCGCUGCGUUUCCGCUGUGUAAGAACUCCCUGCUUUUGUGAAAUUCCUAGAAAUUUGCAUUUUUCGCGAUUUUCGUCGUUAUCGUUUGCGGCUUCUCCAUGUCGUCCAUUUCUUGUGGCAAUGGAGAAUGCAAAUAUGCAAACGUCGUUCAGAUUGAAGAGCGAGAAGAAGAGAAUUGAAGCUGUGCUCGGGGAAGAAGAAGAAGAAGAAGAAGAAGAAGAAAGAGAAACAGAUAGGCAUAGCUCGGAUGAAGGAGAAUUAACCUGCGUAAUGAAGUUUGGUGGAUCCUCGAUUGCUUCGGCAGAGAGGAUGAGGGAAAUUGCGCAGCUCAUUCUGAGCUUUCCCGAAGAAAAGCCUGUGAUUGUUCUCUCUGCCAUGGGAAAAACCACCAACAACCUCUUACUGGCUGGAGAGAAGGCUGUUAGUUGCGGUGUUUCGAAUGCAUCUGAAAUCCAGGAGUUGAGUUUUAUCAAAGACCUGCAUCUCAGGACUGUUGAUGAACUUGGAGUUGAUCGCUCUGUAAUUUCCGCACAUUUAGAGGAACUGGAGCAACUUCUGAAGGGGAUAGCUAUGAUGAAAGAGUUAACACUCCGGACCAGAGAUUAUUUGGUUUCAUUUGGAGAAUGUAUGUCUACAAGAAUAUUUGCAGCUUACCUGAACAAAAUUGGUGUUAAAGCACGCCAAUAUGAUGCAUUUAAUAUUGGUUUCAUAACCACAGACGACUUCACAAAUGCAGAUAUAUUGGAAGCAACUUACCCGGCUGUUGCAAAAACUUUGCAUGGUGAUUGGAUUACUGAUCCUGCAAUUCCCAUUGUUACUGGCUUCCUUGGAAAGGGUUGGAAAUCUUGUGCAAUUACAACCUUCGGUAGAGGUGGUAGUGAUUUGACAGCAACAACCAUCGGUAAAGCCCUAGGUUUGCAAGAAAUUCAGGUGUGGAAGGAUGUUGAUGGUGUAUUGACCUGUGAUCCUAGUAUAUAUCCAUCUGCAGAACCUGUACCUUAUUUGACAUUUGAUGAGGCAGCUGAGCUCGCGUACUUCGGUGCUCAGGUCCUACAUCCACAAUCCAUGAGACCAGCUAGAGAGGGUGAUAUUCCUGUUAGGGUCAAGAACUCUUACAACCCUAAAGCUCCUGGUACCCUCAUCACAAAAACAAGAGAUAUGAGUGAGGCCCUUCUAACCAGCAUAGUUUUGAAGCCGAAUGUCACUAUGUUGGAUAUCGUCAGUACCCGUAUGCUUGGUCAAGUGGGCUUCCUUGCAAAGGUUUUCUCAAUCUUUGAAGAUCUGGGCAUCUCUGUGGAUGUUGUUGCUACCAGCGAAGUUAGUAUAUCUCUGACAUUGGAUCCAUCAAAACUUUGGAGUAGAGAACUAAUCCAACAGGAACUUGACCACGUUGAGGAAGAGCUUGAAAAAAUUGCACUGGUCAAUCUUCUGCAGCAUAGAUCAAUCAUCUCUCUCAUUGGGAAUGUUGAGUAUUCUUCCUUGAUUCUAGAGAAGGUUUUCCAUGUUCUUCGAACCAUUGAAGUCAAUGUCCAAAUGAUCUCACAAGGAGCAUCCAAGGUAAACAUCUCAUUGAUAGUAAAUGAUAGUGAAGCCGAAACAUGUGUUAAGGCCCUUCACCAAGCGUUUUUUGAGAGUGAUGACUUGUCUGAACUACUAAUUCUGGAUAGUGGAUCUGGUAACGGUUCUCCUUCGCUGUCUUCGGUGGAAUUUGGUCCAGCCUAAUACAAGAAUAAUAUUUUUGUUGGCUCCUUCAUUCAAUUUUCAACAUAUUGCCUUUUAGAUGUAGGCUAUCGAGCAUUAAAUUGUUUUUCCAUCUAAUGUCGUAGUGAUAUCAAUAUGUGGAAUUAUCCAAAUUCAUACACGAGGUACAAUUCGAGGUUACACGCCAUGAACCUCUUAGCCAACCUCCACUGCAGCUUUUUUUCCUGCACCCAGCAGCCGCCAAAACAAGAACAAACAAUGCAAAUAGAGAGAGAUGUUAAUGAUAUUGAUGAUGAGAUGUUUUGACACUUAAUU